rnacentral:rRNA from 1 species
UACAGAGGGUGCAAGCGUUAAUCGGAAUUACUGGGCGUAAAGCGCGCGUAGGCGGUUCGUUAAGUUGGAUGUGAAAUCCCCAGGCUCAACCUGGGAACUGCACUCGAAACUGCGUUUCUUGAGUAUCGGAGAGGAAAGCGGAAUUCCUGGUGUAGAGGUGAAAUUCGUAGAUAUCAGGAGGAACACCAGUGGCGAAGGCGGCUUUCUGGACGGUAACUGACGCUGAGGCGCGAAAGCGUGGGGAGCAAACAGG